rnacentral:rRNA from 1 species
AGGGAAUCUUCCGCAAUGGACGAAAGUCUGACGGAGCAACGCCGCGUGAGUGAAGAAGGCCUUCGGAUCGUAAAGCUCUGUUGCCAGGGAAGAACGUCCGUUAGAGUAACUGCUAACGGAGUGACGGUGCCUGAGAAGAAAGCCCCGGCUAACUACGUGCCAGCAGCCGCGGUAAUACGUAGGGGGCGAGCGUUGUCCGGAAUUAUUGGGCGUAAAGCGCGCGCAGGCGGCUGUUAAGUCUGGUGUUUAAUCCUGGGGCUCAACCCCGGGUCGCACUGGAAACUGGACAGCUUGAGUGCAGAAGAGGAGAGUGGAAUUCCACGUGUAGCGGUGAAAUGCGUAGAGAUGUGGAGGAACACCAGUGGCGAAGGCGGCUCUCUGGUCUGUAACUGACGCUGAGGCGCGAAAGCGUGGGGAGCAAAC